UAAGGAAUAUUGCUCAAUGGGAGAAAUCCUGAAGCAGCAACGCCGCGUGGAGGAUGAAGGGUCUAUGACUUGUAAACUCCUGUAAAGAAGGACAAAAUUCACAUUUGAUGGGAGAUGAUGGUACUUCUGGAGUAAGCCCCGGCUAACUACGUGCCAGCAGCCGCGGUAAUACGGAGGGUGCAAGCGUUAAUCGGAAUCACUGGGCGUAAAGCGCGCGUAGGCCGUCUUUUAAGUCGGACGUGAAAGCCCGCGGCUCAACCGGGGAACUGCGUUGGGUACUGGGAGACUUGAGUCCGGGAGAGGGUGGCGGAAUUCCGGGUGUAGGAGUGAAAUCCGUAGAGAUCCGGAGGAACACCGGUGGCGAAGGCGGCCACCUGGACAGGUACUGACGCUUAGGCGCGAAAGCGUGGGGAGCAAACA
rnacentral:rRNA from 1 species